rnacentral:rRNA from 1 species
CUUGACACUGAACAUUGAGCCUUGAUGUGUAGGAUAGGUGGGAGGCUUAGAAGUGUGGACGCCAGUCUGCAUGGAGCCGACCUUGAAAUACCACCCUUUAAUGUUUGAUGUUCUAACGUGGACCCGUAAUCCGGGUUGCGGACAGUGUCUGGUGGGUAGUUUGACUGGGGCGGUCUCCUCCUAAAGAGUAACGGAGGAGCACGAAGGUUGGCUAAUCCUGGUCGGACAUCAGGAGGUUAGUGCAAUGGCAUAAGC